rnacentral:rRNA from 1 species
UACGAAGGGGGCGAGCGUUGUUCGGAAUUACUGGGCGUAAAGGGCGCGUAGGCGGCGACUCAAGUUAGAUGUGAAAGUCCUGGGCUUAACCUGGGGACUGCAUUUGAUACUGGGUUGCUUGAAUUCGGGAGAGGAUAACGGAAUUCCCAGUGUAGAGGUGAAAUUCGUAGAUAUUGGGAAGAACACCGGUGGCGAAGGCGGCUAUCUGGACCGACAUUGACGCUGAGGCGCGAAAGCUAGGGGAGCAAACGGG